UACCAGCACCCCGAGUGGUCGGGACGAUUAUUGGGCCUAAAGCAUCCGUAGCCGGUUUUACAAGUCCUCCGUUAAAUCCAACUGCUUAACAGAUGGGCCGCGGAGGAUACUAUAAGACUCGGAGGCAGGAGAGGCAAGCGGUACUCAGUGGGUAGGGGUAAAAUCCGUUGAUCCAUUUAAGACCACCAGUGGCGGAGGCGGCUUGCCAGAAUGCGUUCGACGGUGAGGGAUGAAAGCUGGGGGAGCAAACCGG
rnacentral:rRNA from 1 species